UCCGUGCGAUUCAUUUUCUUUUGACCCCUUUUUUUAGUAAAUAACACAUUAGAUAAACCCACACCCUUUAGACAAGAACUACAAAAGUGGAUUCCGUAGAGUACUACGGAUGCGUAGGGGUGCUAAUACCUUCCCUUAGCAUAAUCGACUCCCGAACCCAAGAUUUGGUUGCGAGACCCUGUCUUGUCCUUUCCUUUUUCCAGGUUUACUUCGAGCGUUUCCUUUCCCUCCUUUGGGAUAAAUAAUGCACGGUGGAGACUCU
rnacentral:lncRNA from 1 species